rnacentral:rRNA from 1 species
UAAAUCCCUUAACGAGGAACAAUUGGAGGGCAAGUCUGGUGCCAGCAGCCGCGGUAAUUCCAGCUCCAAUAGCGUAUAUUAAAGUUGUUGCAGUUAAAAAGCUCGUAGUUGGACCUUGGACCUGGACAGGCGGUCCGCCUCACGGCGAGUACUGUCUUGCUGGGUCUUUCCUCUUGGUGAUCUGUUGUUUCGGCAGCAGGGAACCAGGACCUUUACUUUGAAAAAAUUAGAGUGUUCUUAGCAGGCUCGACGCCGGAAUAUAUUAGCAUGGAAUAAUAAAAUAGGACGUGCGGUUCUAUUUUGUUGGUUUUUGGAAUCGCCGUAAUGAUUAAUAGGGACAGUCGGGGGCAUUAGUACUCACAUGCUAGAGGUGAAAUUCUUGGAUUUUGUGAAGACUAACUUCUGCGAAAGCAUUUGCCAAGGAUGUUUUCAUUAAUCAAGAACGAAGGUUAGGGUAUCGAAAACGAUUAGAUACCGUUGUAGUCUUAACAGUAAACUAUGCCGACUAGGGAUCGGUCGAUGUUAUCUUUUUGACUCGAUCGGCACCUUACGAGAAAUCAAAGUUUUUGGGUUCUGGGGGGAGUAUGGUCGCAAGGCUGAUACUUAAAGAAAUUGACAGAAGGGCACCACCAGGAGUGGAGCCU